rnacentral:rRNA from 1 species
GUCCGUGGCCUACCACUGUAAACAUGCCUGAUCUCAUUUGAUCUCAGUAGUUAAGUAGGGUCAGGCCUGGUGAGUACUUGGAUAUGAGGCUAACGGAAUACCAAGUGCUGUAAGCU